rnacentral:rRNA from 1 species
UACAGAGGGGGGCAAGCGUUUGUUCGGAAUUACUGGGCGUAAAGGGCGCGUAGGCGGCCUGCUAAGUCGAACGUGAAAUCCCCCGGGCUCAACCCGGGAACUGCGUCCGAUACUGGUUGGCUUGAAUCCGGGAGAGGGGAUGCGGAAUUCCCGGUGUAGCGGUGAAAUGCGCAGAUAUCGGGAAGAACACCCGUGGCGAAGGCGGUUCUCUGGGACGGUACUGACGCUGAGACGCGAAAGCGUGGGGAGCGAACAGG